rnacentral:telomerase_RNA from 1 species
CAAAGGAGUAUCGUGUUUGUUGAUAAACGAAACUACGACCUAACCUUUAGGAUCCUAAGGGAUCCUCAAGCCGGAGGCCCACGACGGCUAUAAAUAAAAGAGGGUGUUUCUGAAACACGAUACAUGAUUUUUGUU